rnacentral:lncRNA from 12 species
UGGUGACAUACAGGAGUUAAACUGACUUAGAUUACAGGAUGAAAGAGUACAGUUCACCAUACAGAAGAGCCUGAGAGAAGCCAGGAGGAAGCUGAAUUCCUUGGCUGCUUUUUUUAGUAUGUCACCACGAUCAUUUAUUAGGUUUUAGUCAUUUAUUAUGCGCCUACAUUUGCAGGAACAACCAUAAGAAGUAAAGAAAAACUGUGCAACUAUUUUAUUUUGAAAAUGAAUAUUGACAAGCAGCAUUCAAACUGAAUAGCAGUUAAAUAACUAGGGUUUAUAUCAACCCAAAAGAAUGAAAGAAAGAAAGGAAGAAAUUAAGAGAUGG